rnacentral:rRNA from 1 species
UACGUAGGGUGCGAGCGUUAAUCGGAAUUACUGGGCGUAAAGCGUGCGCAAGCGGUUCGUUGUGUCGGCGGUGAAAGCCCCGGGCUUAACCUGGGAAUGGCCGUUGAAACUGGCGAACUGGAGUGUGGCAGAGGGGGGUGGAAUUCCGCGUGUAGCAGUGAAAUGCGUAGAGAUGCGGAGGAACACCGAUGGCGAAGGCAGCCCCCUGGGCUAACACUGACGCUCAGGCACGAAAGCGUGGGGAGCAAACAGG